UACGCAUACUAGAUUUGGGUAGAACUUUCCCAAAAAGCGAUUUACUUUGUUGAACAAUCCUUGUGAAGAUCGGAAGUAGGUUCGCGGUGAUAUCAUUGCCAUUCUUCCCUGACGGAGUUAAUUUUGUUAAGAUUCCCUUGAGAAAAGCAACAAAUCUGCCGGGAAUUUCUCAAAUGUUUAACUCGAAAAACUCUCCCACAGCAAAAGACGUGGAUAUUGGGCUGAUGCAGCUAAGAAUCCUUGAACCUAACGAAAAGGAAACGCAGAAGCCCUCGAAGAAGAAAAUGGCUCCUGGAACCUCAAGGCGCCGGAAGAAAUCUAGAUACAAGAGAUCGAAAAGCACGGACAACUCGAGGUAAGGUUUAAACAUGUAUAAACUUUUUGUAGUAUCUCUUGUUCUUUCCG